ensembl:lncRNA
AUGUUAUACCUAUGGGCAACUUCCUAUCUGAAAACUAAAAAUCCAGCGAAAUUCCAAACCGUAUUUGGGACAUCAGUUAAGUAUUGUUUACCAUGUUGGGUUACAUUUAAAAAGAGGGCGGGGAAAAAUACUGACAACUUUGAAAGCGUAAAGCUUUUUAAAUCUCCCACUAAAUCAUUUGUGAAUAUAUCGGUAGACUACAUUCAGCAGCUGCUAGACUGGAGCAGAAGAUCAAAGUUUUCCCUAUACUUGAGAAUGCUUAUCCCCACCAAAAAGGAACAGAAACCAGUCAUCCUUGCCACUGGAGCCAGUUGCCCGGAAUUUCCUAAAAUAUGCCUGAUCUGCAAGCGAAGGAGGAGCACUUCUCCGGAGACCAAAGGCGAGAGAGGCUGCAAGCACACCAGGACUUCUCUGAAUCUGCGCCAAAGAGAGAGAGGUAUUCAAGGCAGGAGUUUCCUUUCAGUCAACAGCAACCUCAGCCUGUUUUCCGACUCGGAACCCACAUCUUCAUCCCAGGUGGCUAAGGCCAGUAGAAUCCUCCUACUGUAAGAUGUUACUCUAUGACUUUGAUAAGGACAAUAUAGAAUAGUCCAUGAUCUACUCAAGAGAAAUGCUUCCUUACGUUGCCAACAUAAAGUCCACUUUCCAAAGACCCAAGAUCAAAGGGAAACUGGAUUUUUAUAUCUUCAGGCAUUAACUAAUGGCAUGAACUAUGCAAACUCAUUUCUAAAUGACAGUUCUCUUUAUAGAAUGAAAACCAAGUUUACUUCCAAUCUUUGUCUUGAGAAUUGGAGCUUUAGAAAACGUCCUUAAAUACAAGAUGGUCAUUAAAAGAAGGGAAGCAAAUUAAGUUUCUAGAAAUCUGUAAGACCAGUACUGUACUGUGGUUUUCCCUGAGCCGACCUUGCCACCCAAAGUCACACUGUGCCUAAUUUCUAGAAACCCUAAUCCUAUGUUCAAGCUGAUGAAUUAUUAAAUUUUCCCUUCAUAUGUAUAAGGGACAAAAAUGUAUACAGUCCAUAGAUAGAUAUACGGUAUAUGCAUGGUAUUGAAAUUUCAAGGGGGUAGAUGGUUAGGGGAAAAAAAAUCUGAAAACACUCUUUAGGGAGGGGAGAAGGACAAAUUUGAGAAACACUGCUGCAGAUUCUUUUGCCAAGUCAGGAAAACCUAAAUUAAUUCCAAUAUAGUGAUAAUUCAAAAAUCCCUGGAUGAAACAGAAGAGCGUGGUGAUUAUAUUUUUAACCAAUGUACUUGUAAAUGGCUACAAUUCUCUGGCCUUUGUUUCUCCUAGCAGAAAUUACUAAAAUUGUUCAAGUGUAAAGAAAACUCUAGGAUUAACUGGAAAAAAAAAAAAAGGUUCAUGAAUCAUCAUUAAGUUCACGACACACAGAGUACAAACCAAGAAAGUAAAUUUAUUUAAAUUACUAAAAUAGCUUCUAAAGUCAUUUACAGAUCAGCUGCUACAAUUAUUUCUCCUGAAAGACAUAAGUAACAUUAAUUUCUUUAAAAUUAUUUUGGUCAGCGAAACAUUUAAUAAAAACAUUUGUUUCUCCA